GUCUGGGAAUUACGAGCAAAGCUUAAAACCCAAAGGACUUGACGGUACCCCAUAUCCCCCUAGAGGAGCCUGUCCAAUAAUCGAUGAUCCCCGUUUAACCUCACCACACCUAGCUUAUCAGCCUGUAUACUUCCGUCGCAAGCCUACCACAUGAGCGAAACUUAGUUAGCCCAAUGUCUACACAUAAAUGUGUUUACAUCGACAACACGUCAGGUCAAAGUGCAGCAAACGCUGUGGGAUGAGAUUGGCUACACUUUUUAACUUAAAAGAAACGGAAAACAAAAUGAAACUUUGUCAGAAGGUGGAUUUAGCAGUAAAAUGGAAAUAUUAAAUUCAUUUUAACUCGGCACUGGGGUGUGU
rnacentral:rRNA from 1 species